UUGCAUAUGCUGCGAGGAACAUGACGAACAACCAAGCCAAACCUGUGCUGGACCAGGUAUCAGAUUGUUUGCGCUGCUGCAUUUUUCGGUGUCCUAUGAAAUGUUUAUUCUUCAUCAAAUGUAUAUACAAUAUUGUUGGAAAACUCAACUAUUUUUCAAUCAAACUGUUCCAGGAAGGAUUGCUCGAACAUAGGAAGGUGCUUGGAUACCUGCUCAUGACCAUGGAUUCCAACAUUACGAAGAUCAACGGCGUCUAAGCAACAUUCUCAUGAAGACUAUCCAUCUUUCUUCACUAUAAAAAUGUUUGCGACUGAAAGUUGCUGUAUGUCUAUGAUGCCAUGUGUACCUAAAAGCCCUCACACACUGUGUGUGUUGUGGUCUGUCAGUGUUAGUGUCCGUAAUUCGGUAUGAGACUAUUUGUUGUCAGUCGUAAAAUGCACUUUGUUUUGUAUUUUCUGGUCCAUGAGACAGCUAAUGACUAUGUUAAGUGUUCUACAUCACUUAAUGCCUAAGUUCUACUUCUUCAUAUACUUUGUUGUCCGCGUGAAAUGAUGUUUGAUUCGAAAACUUAAAUCAAAUAUUACGU
rnacentral:lncRNA from 1 species